rnacentral:lncRNA from 1 species
CCAUAUUGUACAAUCAAUCUACCAUGUGAACAAGCAACAUUUACUUUUGGUAAACUAUGACCCCACCAUCUAUAUGUGAUGUGAAAUAAAUAAGGAUUUGUGCAGUUUCUUGAAAUAUCAAAUUUAAUUUGCAGGGUUAUGUUUAUGGCGAUAAAAAUUUACAGUAACAUGACAUAAACAGUGAAGUCUAUGAGACGCCCUUACUAAUAGUGUGUGUGUGUGUGUGUGUGUGUGUGUGUGUGUGUGUCGUACCGUGAGUACGUCGACGUCUUGGUGUGGUUCAGACUCACCUGCCCCACAGGUCUGUGGAUGAGGUCUGAGAGCAGAGCGGGACCCUCCUGCAGAGCGGCCGGAGGCCUCAAGGCGGGCCUGGGAAAGGGGCUGCAUGCUGAGGCCCAUGAGGAGCUCUCCGCCUCUCACGGCAGGACCUCUGUCAGUCAGUGCUGGCCCCCUGCAGCCCACAGACCUGCCAGGACACAGCAUAGAGAACACACAGGCCUCUAUUGCCUGGGGAUUCGAUUGGAUUGGAGCUGUAAAGACUUGUGUUCCAUGGGGCUGGUCCCAGGGGUAAAUUGAUGGGAGGCAGGACCCUCAUUCAGGCCCGGCAGGGGGCUUCAAUCGCAGGCCUGCCCUAGCCUUUGGGCUGCCCUGCUUCUGGCUGAAGAGGACCCAGCAGGAAAUGCUAUUCCAGUUACACAGCCCAAUUAUGUUAUACACUACUGAACAAAAGUCUGUAAUAUUAAUGUUUUUUUUUUUGUUUUGUUUUUGACGAAGUCCUUAAGCUUACCAAGGCUUAAAUGAUCAAAAAGUGAUACCUAUAACGUCACAAAAGAUUUCAAAUAAAUGCUGGCCUUUUGAACUUUCUAUUCAUCAAAGAAUCCUGAUAAACAUGAAUCACAGUUUUCACAAAAAUAUUAAGCAAUUUUCAAAAUUCAACUAUAUUAUCCAAAAUAACAAUAAUAAUUUGCAAUUUAGCAGCAAAAAAGGUACUAUUCCACAAUAUUACUGUUUCUACUGUAUUGUUUGAUAAAAUAAAUGCAGCAUUGAUGAUAAC